rnacentral:lncRNA from 1 species
UAACAACUGCGCUCAUGGUUCCCACCACAUUCAGGCUCGGGGGUUGCAGCUUGGCCUCCCCCACUGUUCUCACCUUCACCACACAGGACACUGACUGUGUGCGCCCACUUGUUUUCUGCAGCUGGAGACCGCAUGUGGCGUGUUUGUUGAUGGGAACUGUGCUCAUCCGCCUUGGGUUACUGCAGGAGCCCACCACACGUGUUGGCACGGAUGUACCACAAUUACCGAAGCUACCCACAGGCUCCUCUCAUUUCGGGUCCCUCGUGUCCUCGCUGAUCUAAAUGGAAAACAUCAGGACACCUUGCUUCCUGCCUGCUACCCCUGGACUCUUGCUCUCCAAGCAUCUGGAAGUGAAAGAAACAGUACUUUAGCUGUGCAUAAUGGAGCAUGCCUGCAAUUCCAGCGCCAUGGGAGUCUGAGGCAGAAGGAUUACAAGUUCAAGCCCAGCCUGAGCAGUUUAGUGACUUAGCAAGACCCUGAAACAAACAAACAAACAAACAAACAAACAAACAAACAAACAAAUAAAGUUGGGGAUGUAGCUCAGUAUCAAGGCUCUGGGUUCAGUUCCCAGUACAGAAAAAACAAAAUAAAACAAAC